GAUGAACGCUGGCGGCGUGCCUAAUACAUGCAAGUCGAGCGAACGGACGAGAAGCUUGCUUCUCUGAUGUUAGCGGCGGACGGGUGAGUAACACGUGGAUAACCUACCUAUAAGACUGGGAUAACUUCGGGAAACCGGAGCUAAUACCGGAUAAUAUUUUGAACCGCAUGGUUCAAAAGUGAAAGGCGGUCUUGCUGUCACUUAUAGAUGGAUCCGCGCUGCAUUAGCUAGUUGGUAAGGUAACGGCUUACCAAGGCAACGAUGCAUAGCCGACCUGAGAGGGUGAUCGGCCACACUGGAACUGAGACACGGUCCAGACUCCUACGGGAGGCAGCAGUAGGGAAUCUUCCGCAAUGGGCGAAAGCCUGACGGAGCAACGCCGCGUGAGUGAUGAAGGUCUUCGGAUCGUAAAACUCUGUUAUUGGGGAAGAACAUAUGUGUAAGUAACUGUGCACAUCUUGACGGUACCUAAUCAGAAAGCCACGGCUAACUACGUG
rnacentral:rRNA from 1 species